rnacentral:rRNA from 1 species
GACGAACGCUGGCGGCGUGCCUAAUACAUGCAAGUUGAGCGCUGAAGGUUGGUACUUGUACCAACUGGAUGAGCAGCGAACGGGUGAGUAACGCGUGGGGAAUCUGCCUUUGAGCGGGGGACAACAUUUGGAAACGAAUGCUAAUACCGCAUAAAAACUUUAAACACAAGUUUUAAGUUUGAAAGAUGCAAUUGCAUCACUCAAAGAUGAUCCCGCGUUGUAUUAGCUAGUUGGUGAGGUAAAGGCUCACCAAGGCGAUGAUACAUAGCCGACCUGAGAGGGUGAUCGGCCACAUUGGGACUGAGACACGGCCCAAACUCCUACAGGAGGCAGCAGUAGGGAAUCUUCGGCAAUGGACGAAAGUCUGACCGAGCAACGCCGCGUGAGUGAAGAAGGUUUUCGGAUCGUAUAACUCUGUUGGUAGAGAAGAACGUUGGUGAGAGUGGAAAGCUCAUCAAGUGACGGUAACUACCCAGAAAGGGACGGCUAACUACGUG